UGAGGAGAAUGGGAGUGUGGUGGACAAAAUUGAAAUUAGAGAAGAAGAGGAAAAGAAGAAGAGGAAGAGGAAGAGGAAGAGUGGAGAGGUAGAGGUAAAGGAGGAGAGGGAGGAGGAAGAGAAGGAUGGAUUGGAAGAGGAGGGCCAAAGGAAGAAGAGGAGGAGAAAACAAGUGGAUGAUAAUUGAGUGAAAAAGGAGGUUACUUGUAAUCGGAUAAUCGGGUAUUUCAAUUGCUGUUGGGAAUGAAAUUUACUGCUUUUCAAAUAUGUUUAUGUUCUUUGAAAUUUACAUAUUCAGCUUAGAUUGUUUUGUUCUUUGAACUUUAUAGAUUGCUUGAGAAGUUUUGGUCGCAGUAGUUGUUAUUUGUAAAGCAGAAACCAGAAUGCUGACUGCUGAUCAUCAUACAGUUUGUUAAAAGCAGACUCUAUAUAAUUCUAAAACUAGCUAGGUUUGGCCUGACCCUGACAGCAGUGGCUACUAACUUACACUUGGCUGGUCAACUCAGUGAACCUGCCAAUGUCUGUCUUUGCCUGCAUGGGCUGUACACGUUUCCUGUUUAGUUGAGUGGUGAGCUUUCCUCUUUAUUUUUCAAAACAAACCAGUUCUCGUGGCUCUGUGCCUGCGUUCUUAUGAUUAUUAUUGCUUUGCUUUUGGAUUUUUCUGGCAAUAUAGCUUGAGACUUUUUAUUCUUUUGUUAAGUUUUGAGUUGAUUAUAUUGGAUUAUCGUUACAAGGAAAUUGAAUAAUUUAGCUAACUACUAGAUGCAUCAGCCUUCAUUUGUUUGAUUUAUAUUUAGUUGCUGGGACAAAAUGAGGAGAAAAAACUAAAGUUUUGUGCUUUCUUGAAAACAAAGUAAAAUUCUGCACAACUUUGUUUCAAUGGUGUUUUGCUGGUAACAAGGAUAUCGAUAGUGAGCGUUCUGCUCAACAGGAUUGCAGCAAGACAUUGGUUUGGCAAUAUGGGGAGAAAUCAGGGUUUGAAUAAUGAAAGGGGCUUGCCUGGGGUAUGGUGAGUUAUUCCUUCCGGGUAUUGCACUGGUUUUGCGAUUCUUCU
rnacentral:lncRNA from 1 species